rnacentral:rRNA from 1 species
UACGUAGGGGGCAAGCGUUGUCCGGAUUUAUUGGGCGUAAAGAGCGUGUAGGCGGCCAGGUAGGUCCGUUGUGAAAACUCGAGGCUCAACCUCGAGACGCCGAUGGAAACCAUCUGGCUAGAGUCCGGAAGAGGAGAGUGGAAUUCCCGGUGUAGUGGUGAAAUGCGCAGAUAUCAGGAAGAACACCCGUGGCGAAGGCGGCUCUCUGGAACGCAACUGACGCUGAGACGCGAAAGCGUGGGGAGCAAACAGG